AAUCUCAUUUAAAUAUGAAUCUUUUUAAUCGCCUUUUUUGAAAGAUAUUUGGAACAGAUGGAAAAAAUCUAGUGACACAUCUGAAAUCAAUCAAUUAUUUUUAUACAGAAUAUUAGUAGUUCCGAUAUAAUUCGAAUAUAUGUCAUCGCGAUGCACGAAAUGUCAUCGUGGAUAAUCGCAUUUCUGGUUGUCUCGUGGUUGUGUCGUGAACAAAUCUAUAACUUAUUAGUGGAAAAAGUAUCGUGCGUUUGGCUUGAGUAUCCUUGAUAAUUCAUUAAUAUUUCGUCCGUUAUUUCGAUUUCAUUUUAUUUGUCGCAUUACCACGAAGAAAUCGGUAUUUCGAAAUGUGAUUAAAUAUGAUCAAUAUUAUUGCAUAUUGCUUUAUUAAUAUUUACAUUAAAUGACACGAAGAAUUUUUUUUAAUAAAGAAUAAAAUUAUUAUCUUAAAUGAACUAUACAUAUACAAGAUAAGACACUUUUGUGAUAAUAUUAAUUAAUAAAAUCUUAUGGUUGCGUACCUAUGAGGUCGGGUGCGUAUAAAUCAUGGCUCUGGCAUAGGUGCACCAUAUGGUCAAUGUUCAAAAGGUCUGGCUUCUGUGUAACACCCAUAGACACCAUGAGGGGUGUCCAUGACUACCACGUGUCUUGAAAACUGAGGAUACCGCUACUAUUCUUUUUCUGUUCUCUGUAAUUUGAUCACAAUUUACUUAACAGUCAGUCCGCUAUCUUUCAUUAUAUUAAUUAAAUGUCUUGGAAGGUUAUUGAAAAUUUGAAAUUAUUAUUAUAAGAUUAUAAGUUAGAUUCAUGUCUAUAUAACCUAUAAAUAUAAA